rnacentral:rRNA from 1 species
AGCGAACGCUGGCGGCGUACUUAACACAUGCAAGUCGAACGAGGAUCGUCGGGUUAGCAAUAAUUCGGCGGUCCGAGUGGCGUACGGGUGAGUAACACGUGGGUAACCUGCCCUUGAGUCCGGGAUACCCUCUCGAAAGGGAGGCUAAUACUGGAUACGUUCCUUGGGUCGCAAGAUCUGGGGAGGAAAGGUAGCGAAAGCUACCGCUCUUGGAGGGGCUCGCGGCCUAUCAGCUAGUUGGUGAGGUAACGGCUCACCAAGGCGAUGACGGGUAGCUGGUCUGAGAGGACGACCAGCCACACGGGAACUGAGACACGGUCCCGACUCCUACGGGAGGCAGCAGUGGGGAAUUUUCCGCAAUGGGCGAAAGCCUGACGGAGUGACGCCGCGUGGGGGACGAAGGCCUUCGGGUCGUAAACCCCUGUCAGAGGGAAAGAAGGGUGUCGGUGUUAAUAGCGCCGGCAUCUGACGGUACCUUCAGAGGAAGCCCCGGCCAACUCUGUGCCAGCAGCCGCGGUAAGACAGAGGGGGCAAGCGUUGCUCGGAAUCACUGGGCGUAAAGGGCGCGUAGGCGGGAUGGCAAGUCGGUCGUGAAAUCCUUCGGCUCAACCGAAGAACGUCGGCCGAUACUGCCGUUCUUGAGGGAUGCAGAGGAGAUUGGAAUUCCCGGUGUAGCGGUGAAAUGUGUAGAGAUCGGGAGGAACACCGGUGGCGAAGGCGGGUCUCUGGGCAUCUCCUGACGCUGAGGCGCGAAAGCGUGGGGAGCAAACGGGAUUAGAUACCCCGGUAGUCCACGCUGUAAACGAUGACGACUAGGUGUGGGGGGGGUUAGUCCCUUCCGUGCCGCAGCUAGCGCAUUAAGUCGUCCGCCUGGGGAGUACGGCCGCAAGGUUG